UCCGAGCCAUUAUUAAGUAAAGUAAAGAACACAAACACUGUGAUACUGCUACACUUGAUCUGAUAACCAAGAAGUCUACUAAGUGACUAACAGCAGAGCAACUGGGAACCUAAUUCUGACCAACAAGGAGGAAUUGUUUGGCUAAUUGGAAGUGACAGAAACCUUGGGAGAAAGCAAGCGCAUACCAAGGAUAAUUAUAAGAAGGUAACAUGGGCCCUAAAGGAUAGUGUCAAGAAACCUGAAACCCCCAAAUGAGGUGAGACUUGCAAAAAAUGCUAAGAAGGGCAAAGAACAGGCCUUUUAAAAUUCUAUUCAGAACCAGAAGAUGAUAAAGAAAGGGAAAUGCCCACUAGCAGCUUCUACUGUAAGGUUAGAGCUGACAGAGAAAGAACUCCUUAACUACUAUUUGCUUCAUUCUCUACAAAGGAAACUAGAGAAGUGGGUUGACAUAAUAGAAAGAACAUGUGUUUGUGGGGCCAGGCAAACCUGGGUUUAAUUCUGUUUCAACACUGUUUAACAAAAUUUAUGGGAGGCUAUUGUUUUGGAUUGGGCUACUGCACUAGGCCCCUCCAGACCAAACCAAAAUGGAGUCACUCAUACUAAAACUCCAGGUCACCAAACCAAAACUAAGUUGUUUAUCUGACCUUCCAAGAAAUCAGGAGGGAGAAAACAACCAAAUCUCCAAACAGGCCAAUUUUAAUCAGCGUGAUAAGGAAGUCCUCUCUUUUUUAACCCUAUAAAGAAAGUAACUUUUUGAAAUGAUCAAUAUACUUUUUAUUCCUUAGUUCUGCUUUCUUUAGCCCCUUUCUGCCUAUAAAACCCACUUCCUCUGCUCAACUUACUGAAGCAGUAUUCUAUUGUAUAGAAUGAGAUGCUGCCCAAUUCUAGAAUCACUAAUAAAAGCCAAUUAGAUCUUUACAUUUGUUGAAAUUUUGUCUUUGACAACAUUACUAGUUACAUUAUUCUGGGUAUCCUUUUCCCCAUCUGUAAAAUGGACAUAUCGAUAUCUUUCCCAUAGGAUUUUUCUCAUUAAUAGAAGUAAUACAUUCAAAACACUGAGCCAGGCUCACACCAAUGAGCAACUUGUUAAUAUUACUCAAAAGCAUAUUAUAGAUAUUGACAGAAAGCAAUACUGUUCCUAAUUAGGGGAAGAAAUUCUAAGAGAGUACCUAACAGUUUGAAUUUAGAUUAUAACAUUUGCUCUGAGUAUUUUACAUUACAGCCUUUGGGGGAAAAAGUACAAAUGAGAUCUGAGAACAGUGGUACUCAUCUUUGAGGAAUUAUGAAAAACAUAAUAGAACGCUAAACAUGGGAAAAUAGCCUUCAGGUUGAAAAGUGGAAAUCUCAAUCCCUGAAUUUUUUUUUUUAACUAAGUAACGUUUUUACCCAUUGGUGUCAUUUAACCAAAAGAAGAAGAAAUUCCAAAAAAAAAUCAACUGAAACAAAAGAAUAGACUGAAUCUGCCAAAGGAGUGCUUAAAAUGGAGGCCUUAGUCUUCAAAGCUAAGGUGAUGAGAAAAGAACAGGUCUUAAAUUUCUUCAGAACUUCAAGAGGCAAAGCUUGAAAGAAGAAAAAAUUUUAUUCUUAGGUAAGAUGUAGGGGUAGAAUGGUGGCCCCUGCAAAAGGUAAGCCUUCCUCCUAAUCCUAGAAUCGUGGAUGGUACCUUAUUUGGAUAAAAAGGUCUUUGCAGUUGUAAUUAAGAACGUUGAGAUGAGGAGAUCAUCCUGGAUUAUCUGGUGGACUGUAAAGUCAAUGACAUGUAUUCAUAUAUGACAGAAGAGAAGACAUGGAGAAGAGGAGGGGGUAGUUGUGACCGUGGAGGCAGAGAAUGGAGUAAUGUGAUCAUAAAUCAAGGAAUGCUGAUAGCCACUAAAGCUGGAGAAGGCCAAGGACAGAUUUUCAAUCCUCCCAUAGAAGUACAGCCCUGCUAAUGCAUUGAUUUUGGACUUCUGGCCUCAGAACUGUAAGAGAAUAAAUUUCUAUUGUUUUAAGCCAUCAGUUUGUGGUAAUUUGUUACAGAAGCCCUGUAAAAUACACAGAGUUCAAAGAGAAUCCAGUAAUAUCUCUAAGAGACUUGUGUAUUAGUCAGGGUUCUCCAGAGAAGCAAAGCCAAAAGCCAAUAGAAUGAUACAUGUUAAAGCAAAUUAAAAUGGAGACCAUGCCUGAAGAAUCUCUGUUCAGGCAAACCCAGUUAGGCCUCAUAAGUUAACCUUGCUUGAUUUGCAAACAUAAUCUAAAACUUAACUGAAGCUAUUUCCAGUAAAUGAAUAUAACACAGAACUUAAGCUCAAUCAGUCAGAAGCAGCUUUAUAAUUAUGUAGCUAGGGACUUUCCAAGAGGAUGACCAAAGAAGGAAAUGAUAUAACUGUAACCAAUCAAAUAUUUUCUUUGCUUUCAUGUUCCUCCUAUAAAAGCCUCCCCACUGCAUUCCUUCAGCAGAGCUCCCAAACCACUUCUGGUUUAGAGUUGCCCAAUUUGUGAAUCACUAUUUGCUCAAAUAAACUCUUUAAAAUUU